AAAUGCGAUAAGUAGUGUGAAUUGCAGAAUUUAGCGAAUCAUCGAAUCUUUGAACGCACAUUGCGCCCCUUGGUAUUCCAUGGGGCAUGCCUGUUCGAGCGUCAUUUCAACCCUCAAGCACUGCUUGGUGUUGGGCGUUUGUCCCGCCUACGCGCGUGGACUCGCCUCAAAGUCAUUGGCAGCUGUUCCCCUUCGGCUCGUAAGCGCAGCACAGUCGGCGCCCGGAGCUCUGGUGGGAUGGCGUCCAGCAAGCUAUAUUUUCAGUCUUGACCUCGGAUCAGGUAGGGAUACCCGCUGAACUUAAGC
rnacentral:misc_RNA from 1 species